rnacentral:tRNA from 1 species
GCGCGAGUGUCGGAAUUGGCAGACGAGCCGGGUUUAGGUCCCGGUGCCUGCGGGCGUGAGGGUUCGAGUCCCUCCUCGCGCACAA